AGAGUCAUGCAGGAAAGGAGUAGCGAACCAUCCGGACCCCGAGGCAUGUGAGGGCAGCCGUAAGGCUGCAUUUGAAGCGUUGGGAAGGGGCACAUGUAGGCUGGGUAUCCCUGAAGUAGAUGAGCUCCGAAAUAGCCAAGACCAGAGACGCCGAGUCGGAGACCC
rnacentral:ncRNA from 1 species